AACCAACAGGGAUUGCCCCAGUAACGGCGAGUGAAGCGGCAACAGCUCAAAUUUGAAAUCUGGCUUCGGCCCGAGUUGUAAUUUGUAGAGGAUGCUUUGGGCGCGGCGCCUUCUGAGUUCCCUGGAACGGGACGCCACAGAGGGUGAGAGCCCCGUAUAGUUGGACGCCUAGCCUGUGUAAAGCUCCUUCGACGAGUCGAGUAGUUUGGGAAUGCUGCUCAAAAUGGGAGGUAAAUUUCUUCUAAAGCUAAAUACCGGCCAGAGACCGAUAGCGCACAAGUAGAGUGAUCGAAAGAUGAAAAGCACUUUGAAAAGAGGGUUAAAUAGCACGUGAAAUUGUUGAAAGGGAAGCGCUUGUGACCAGACUUGCGCCGGGCCGAUCAUCCGGGGUUCUCCCCGGUGCACUCGGCCCGGCUCGGGCCAGCAUCGGUUCUCGCGGGGGGACAAAGGCCUCGGGAAUGUAGCUCCUCCGGGAGUGUUAUAGCCCGGGGCGUAAUGCCCUCGCGGGGACCGAGGUACGCGCAUCUGCAAGGAUGCUGGCGUAAUGGUCACCAGCGACCCGUCUUGAAACACGGACCAAGGAGUCAAGGUUUUGCGCGAGUGUUUGGGUGUAAAACCCGCACGCGUAAUGAAAGUGAACGUAGGUGAGAGCUUCGGCGCAUCAUCGACCGAUCCUGAUGUAUUCGGAUGGAUUUGAGUAGGAGCGUUAAGCCUUGGACCCGAAAGAUGGUGAACUAUGCUUGGAUAGGGUGAAGCCAGAGGAAACUCUGGUGGAGGCUCGCAGCGGUUCUGACGUGCAAAUCGAUCGUCAAAUCUGAGCAUGGGGGCGAAAGAC
rnacentral:rRNA from 2 species